CCCGCUGAACUUAAGCAUAUCAAUAAGCGGAGGAAAAGAAACUAACAAGGAUUCCCCUAGUAACGGCGAGUGAAGCGGGAACAGCUCAAAUUUGAAAUCUCACUUCGGUGCGAAUUGUAGUUUAGAGAAACGUUUUCGGUCUUGACAUUGGGUACAAGUCCAUUGGAACAUGGCAUCACAGAGGGUGAAAAUCCCGUCUAUGAUCCAAUGCUCAAGGCCAUAUGAUACGUUUUCCAAGAGUCGGUUUGUUUGGGAAUGCAGACCAAAAUGGGUGGUAAAUACCAUCUAAAGCUAAAUAUUGGCGAGAGACCGAUAGCGAACAAGUACCGUGAGGGAAAGAUGAAAAGAACUUUGAAAAGAGAGUUAAACAGUACGUGAAAUUGUCAAAAGGGAAACGCUUGAAACCAGUAUUGCCUGCUAGAUUUAGCUGUCAUUUAUGGCAGUGUCCUUUCUAGUUGGCAAGUCAACAUCAGUUUGGCUUGGUGUAAAAAGCUCGAGGAAGGUGGCCCUUUGGGUGUUAUAGCCUCGAGUCAUGCAUUGAGCUGGACUGAGGUCUGCAGCUUUUGCUUAGGAUGUUGACGAAAUGGUUUUAAACGACCCGUCUUGAAACACGG
rnacentral:rRNA from 1 species